rnacentral:rRNA from 1 species
AUGAGGUGCUACAAGGAACGAAGGAACAAGAAGGGUAAAGGUGUUGCGCCUGUCGUUCCGGAACAAAAGAGAGGUAUCAUUCUCAAGACAGAAUGCCCUGUCUGGUGUAAGCUGAACGUAGAUGGAGCACGGUGGGUGGUCACUGAAUAUUUUAAUGAGCACAACCACGAACUCAUAAAGAAGUUCGACUUGGUAAAAUUUCUGCCCGCCCACAGAAGAUUCACCCCCCUCGAGAAGAAAUUCAUAAAGCUGCUACAUGAUUGUAACGUCGGUCCAUCAAGAAUGGUCCAGAUACUAUCACUCAUCCACAGCAAAAAUGGGACUCUGAGUAGCAUGCCCUACAUACCAGCUGACGUCACAAACCUAAAGGCAAAGUACCAUAGAGAGAGCAAGUUGGCUAACAUAGAGGCCACGAUGGUCUACUUCGAUGAGAAAGCGAAGGAAGAUCUAGAUUUAUUCUAUAGGAUAAGAUUGGACGAUGAGGACCGUGUCAGGAACAUGUAUUGGGUGGAUGGUGCUGCAAGAAGAGCCUACAAACAUUUCCGAGCUUGCAUUUCAUUCGACGCGACAUAUCUCACUAAUAUGUACAAGAUGCCAUGCGCUCCAUUCAUAGGAAUAAAUAACCACAACACGGAUGGGUACACUUGGUUGUUCAAGACCUUCUUGUGCAUGGAUGGACUUGCUCCGAUGAACAUAACAAUAGACCAGGAUUUUAGCAUGCGUGCACGCAUAGAGGAGGUCUUUCCGUUGGCAGUGCACAGGCACUACAGGUGGCACAUUAUAAAGAAGGCUGAGGAGACGCUAGGACCGUUCUUUGCUACUACGCAGGGCAUCGAGGGGUUCAAUGCUAUUUUGAAGCGGUACGACGACAUUGUGUGUUGUCACAUACUAAAAGUAAUGGACAUGAACGCAGUGACACGAAUGCCCCACCAUUUCAUAAGGCGGCGAUGGACUUGGGACGCUGACGAUGCAUUGGCGCCGCAAACAUCAAACGCAGUUUCGGUUGUGCAUGACGAGAGACCGGAGUCAGCCAUGGAAGCCGUGAGGCAUGUUGUGUUGACAAAGAAAUAUGCUGAACUAAUUGAUGAAGCGUGCAAGAGUGAUGAGACAGCGAGGGUCGCAGAAAAACAUAGGAAGGCCCUGAAAAGAGAGCUUGAUGAGAUCAAGAAGAGGAAAGCUGAGGAAGCCUUACACAGGUUCCCCCGCACAUCAAGUGUGCCUUCGUCCACGGGGCCAUCAUCUGAAAACUCGGAGGUAGGAUCUCGAACAGCAAGCACACAAACCCAGGUUAGGAACCCGCCCCGUUCCAUCACAAAGGGGCAUCCAAAAGAGAUAAGAUACAAAUCGGGAUUGGAGAUUCAAGCAAAACACAAGAAAAAAAAGAAAGGGAGGGGCAAUCCAUAA